UACGAAGGGGGCUAGCGUUGCUCGGAAUUACUGGGCGUAAGGCGCACGUAGGCGGCUUUCUAAGUCGGGGGUGAAAUCCUGGAGCUCAACUCCAGAACUGCCUUCGAUACUGGAAAGCUCGAGUCCGGGAGAGGUGAGUGGAACUGCGAGUGUAGAGGUGAAAUUCGUAGAUAUUCGCAAGAACACCAGUGGCGAAGGCGGCUCACUGGCCCGGUACUGACGCUGAGGUGCGAAAGCGUGGGGAGCAAACCGG
rnacentral:rRNA from 1 species